GACGAACGCUGGCGGCGUGCCUAAUACAUGCAAGUCGAACGCAGUGGGGACUGGUGAGUAACACGUGGGUAACCUCCCAUCAGAGGGGAUAACCAUUGGCAACAGGUGCUAAACCGAUACUGAUGGAUGUACCCGCGGCGCAUUAGCUAGUUGGUGAGGGAAACGCUGACCAAGGCCACGAUGCAUAUCCGGCCUGAGAGGGUGAUCAGCCACACUGGGACUGAGACACGGCCCAGACUCCUACGGGAGGCAGCAGUAGGGAAUCUUCGGCAAUGGACGAAAGUCUGACCGAGCAACGCCGCGGGAGUGAAGAAGGUUUUCGGAUCGUAAAGCUCUUUUGUUAGAGAAGCGGUAUCUAACCAGAAAGCAACGGCUAACUACGUGCCAGCAGCCGCGGUAAUUC
rnacentral:rRNA from 1 species